UACAGAGGUCUCAAGCGUUGUUCGGAAUCACUGGGCGUAAAGGGCGCGUAGGCGGCCCUCUUUGUCGCGUGUGAAAGCCCCGGGCUCAACCUGGGAACGGCGCGCGAAACGGGGGGGCUGGAGUUCGGGAGAGGAGAGUGGAAUUCCCAGUGUAGAGGUGAAAUUCGUAGAUAUUGGGAAGAACACCGGUGGCGAAGGCGGCUCUCUGGACCGAGACUGACGCUGAGGCGCGAAAGCGUGGGGAGCAAACAGG
rnacentral:rRNA from 1 species